CAACAUGGCUGAACAAUGCCUGAGGGGCAGGAUGGAGCAAGCAGCCAGCAGCGGAGAACAUAAACUUUAAAGGAAAAUUAAAAGUGUUAUGUUUCAAAAAAUAACAGUCAUCUGAAAAAAGAAGAGAUGGGCCUGGAGAAAAACUGGAUCCAAACAGUCCCUGGAUGCUGAAGAAAUUUACAUUCAGGCUGGAUUAAAAAUGUGCAAGUAAACCUCA